rnacentral:rRNA from 1 species
GAUGAACGCUGGCGGCGUGCCUAAUACAUGCGAGUCGAGCGAACAGACGAGGAGCUUGCUCCUCUGACGUUAGCGGCGGACGGGUGAGUAACACGUGGAUAACCUACCUAUAAGACUGGGAUAACUUCGGGAAACCGGAGCUAAUACCGGAUAAUAUAUUGAACCGCAUGGUUCAAGAGUGAAAGACGGUUUUGCUGUCACUUAUAGAUGGAUCCGCGCCGCAUUAGCUAGUUGGUAAGGUAACGGCUUACCAAGGCAACGAUGCGUAGCCGACCUGAGAGGGUGAUCGGCCACACUGGAACUGAGACACGGUCCAGACUCCUACGGGAGGCAGCAGUAGGGAAUCUUCCGCAAUGGGCGAAAGCCUGACGGAGCAACGCCGCGUGAGUGAUGAAGGUCUUCGGAUCGUAAAACUCUGUUAUUAGGGAAGAACAAAUGUGUAAGUAACUAUGCACGUCUUGACGGUACCUAAUCAGAAAGCCACGGCUAACUACGUG